CUGGUGAAAAAAUGUUUUGAUGCUGGUUUAAGCUGGUCCUUUGCAGGUUUAUGCUGGUCCUUGACCAGCAAAAACCAGCAAAGGACCAGCUUAAACCAGCUAAGGACCAGCUUAAACCAGCAUCAAAACCUACCUAACCAGCAUUCCAGGAUCAAAACAUACCUACCAGCAUAUGCUGGUUUUUUCACCAGGGGAAGUUGGUGUGUGUUUGUGUGUAUUAAUGUUUAGUUUAAAACUCAAACUCAUGAGAAGUAAAGGAGCACUGGAAUAAGUGAAGUGAGUAAUUAAACUGUAAUUCACACUCGAAAACACUGGAAUAUAUAGGAGAGUUGAGAGUGUUGUAUAAGAGUGUUAUGUUUUUGUAGAUGACCGUUUAUGAGUAUAUUUUUUACUUCAUCUCUUCAAAUACUGAUAACUUCUAAUCAUAAGAUAUUGGUUCACAUUUUUAGAUCAAGCACACGUUUUUCAGGGAAAACAGGCACCCAACACAGAGACUACAGUAAAAUGUUAGUCAGUUUUAACCACUGUUUCCAGACCUGAAUUAUGAUUAUAAUCAUUAUAAGUACAUUUGUAAGACAUUUCCUCCACUGGUGAUAGAAAAUCUGAGUAACUUUUUUCCCUGUUGUCUUUCUUUUUCUGAGGUGGCGCAAAGAAAAGGAAAUAGAACUUGUCACCAUCUUCAGUCCUUUAUUUUAUUCACUGGAGAACAUCACAGCCUUCAGAUGUGUCAUAUCAGGAUAAAUGCAACUGCAGGACUCGUCGGGCCCACCCCACUACAGAUUCACCAAGGAUCCAGCUGAUCACUGCCAAUUUGAAGGAGGAUUGUCCUUUACCUGCUACAUUGCACUCUCACAUCUGAGGCUGUUAAGAAGACUGCACUGAUGUCAAAGAUCAACCAGCAAGAAUCUGAGAGGGAACUCUCAAAAUGGUUUACUGGGACAAGAGACAGAGGAGGACUGAGGGUCUAGAAUGCACAAAUGUCUGUCUGCAGUGUAAGCAGUACUGAAAAAUGUAUAGUUGCUGCUGCUGUUUCUUACUGUCUCUGUUUUCUAUGUGCAAAUGUUCAAAGCUUUCAGUAAACACUGGUUCAAAUACAAGUUCAAAAUGUUUGUUAACUUUAACAAUUAAAUGAUUUUAACAGUUAGGUAUCAGAAUAUAGCAUAUGAUGGGUAGUUUCAAUAAAAUUGAAAUUUGAAAAGA